AGAUUGAACGCUGGCGGCAGGCUUAACACAUGCAAGUCGAACGAUGACUCUCUAGCUUGCUAGAGAUGAUUAGUGGCGGACGGGUGAGUAACAUUUAGGAAUCUACCUAGUAGUGGGGGAUAGCUCGGGGAAACUCGAAUUAAUACCGCAUACGACCUACGGGUGAAAGGGGGCGCAAGCUCUUGCUAUUAGAUGAGCCUAAAUCAGAUUAGCUAGUUGGUGGGUAAAGCCCACCAAGGCGACGAUCUGUAACUGGUCUGAGAGGAUGAUCAGUCACACCGGAACUGAGACACGGUCCGGACUCCUACGGGAGGCAGCAGUGGGGAAUAUUGGACAAUGGGGGCAACCGUGAUCCAGCCAUGCCGCGUGUGUGAAGAGGCCUUUUGGUGUAAAGCACUUUAAGCAGGAGAGAGGCUAAUGGUUAAUACCCAUUAGAUUAGACGUUACCUGACUAGAAUAAGCACCGGACUAACUCUGUCGCCAGCACGCCGUA
rnacentral:rRNA from 1 species